CAGCCCUUGACAUGUCCCGUAUGGUUUCCAGAGAUGGAAUCCUUCAGUUCGGCUGGCGGGAACACAGGUGCUGCAUGGCUGUCGUCAGCUCGUGUCGUGAGAUGUUGGGUUAAGUCCCGCAACGAGCGCAACCCUCGCCCUUAGUUGCCAUCAUUCAGUUGGGCACUCUAAGGGGACUGCCGGUGAUAAGCCGCGAGGAAGGUGGGGAUGACGUCAAGUCCUCAUGGCCCUUACGGGCUGGGCUACACACGUGCUACAAUGGCGGUGACAGUGGGACGCAAUGGAGCAAUCCUGCGCAAAUCUCAAAAAGCCGUCUCAGUUCGGAUUGGGGUCUGCAACUCGACCCCAUGAAGUCGGAAUCGCUAGUAAUCGCAGAUCAGCACGCUGCGGUGAAUACGUUCCC
rnacentral:rRNA from 1 species